AAAGAAGCAAUGGCCCAUCCAUAUUUCGGGCAAGUGAGGGCUGCUGAAACUAGCAGGAUGAGGACACAGUAGCUUUCUUGUCUUGCUGUUAAUGGGAAGAAAAAAAACUGUGUAAUGUACCUUGUGUAUCCAUUUAAGUGACAUUCGUGAGAACUAUGUGGAUUUGAACUUGAGCAGACAUCUGAAUUCAGGAAUUACAGAUCUUCAUCAUUGAACAUUUCAAGAA
rnacentral:misc_RNA from 1 species